AUUGAACGCUGGCGGCAUGCCUUACACAUGCAAGUCGAACGGCAGCACGGGUGCUUGCACCUGGUGGCGAGUGGCGAACGGGUGAGUAAUACAUCGGAACGUACCUUAUCGUGGGGGAUAACGCAGCGAAAGCUGUGCUAAUACCGCAUACGCCCUGAGGGGGAAAGCGCGGGAUCGCAAGACCUCGCGCGAUUAGAGCGGCCGAUGCCUGAUUAGCUAGUUGGUGGGGUAAAAGCCCACCAAGGCGACGAUCAGUAGCUGGUCUGAGAGGACGAUCAGCCAAACUGGGACUGAGACACGGCCCAGACUCCUACGGGAGGCAGCAGUGGGGAAUUUUGGACAAUGGGGGCAACCCUGAUCCAGCAAUGCCGCGUGAGUGAAGAAGGCCUUCGGGUUGUAAAGCUCUUUUGUCAGGGAAGAAACACCGGCUCUAACACAGUCCGGGAAUGACGGUACCUGAAGAAUAAGCACCGGCUAACUACGUGCCAGCAGCCGCAGUAA
rnacentral:rRNA from 1 species